GCGAUCAUCUUCUUUAACUAGACAAAAAGGCUGGCCUUUACUCAAAUCCUUGUUCCUUCUCUCCCCUGAAUCUGAUUAAAUAAAAAAAAAAAAUCCAGCGUUUCUUUACUUCUUUGGGUUCCUUCCUAUUACUAUCAACUGAACCCAUAAAUCCUUCCGGCCUCCUCUUCCUGCUUUGAUUUGAUAGCUUGUUGCAGCCAUGGAAACUGGUAAAGAAGAAGAGACACACGUCUUUCUGGAUCCUGCUUCUCGGCCAACAAAAGGGAAAAGGAUGACAAAGUUGCUGGACGAGGAAGCUGAAGAAGACGAGUUGUUUUGGAAUCAAGAGGCUUUCAAAGAGGAAGACAAUGAUGCCAAUUACGAAGAAGAACUGGAGGUUGCUGAUGUGUUUGAUAGCGAUUUUGAUGAAGAUGAACCUGAGCCAGAUGAUGAAGCAGAAAAUGAAACGGAGGAAAGGGUUCGUACGAAGAAGCGUUUAAUUUUUCCUGGAAAGCCUUCUAUGAAGAAAAAGAAGAAAAAGAAAGUCCUUUCGAAGUUAGAUGGUGAUCCCAAGGAUGAAAAGUCGACUCAAAAGCCUACCUCUCCACAACAUCAUGAUGCCCCUGAUGAUGCAGAAGGUGAGAGAAUCAUUAGGAAAUCUACAAGAACUUCAGUCAUUGUUAGGCAAGCUGAGCGAGAUGCAAUACGUGCUGCUUUGCAAGCAACAAUGAAGCCAGUAAAAAGGAAAAAAGAAGGUGAAGAAAAGAGGAUCACUCAAGAAGAGAUGCUUCUGGAAGCAGCACAAACAGAAAUUAUGAACUUAAGGAAUUUAGAGCGUGUGUUGGCAAGAGAGGAAGAAGUUAAGAAAAGAGCAAUAAUCCACAAGCCUGUAUAUAGCGGUCCACAGAUUAAAUAUGUGUCAAAAGAUGGUUGUUCAUAUCUAGAAUUUAGUAAAGGAUCGUCAUUUCAGUCAGAGCUCUCAACCACAUUGCCCCCAUACCCAGAAAAGGCCAUUUGUGCUGUUACUGGAUUGCCUGCCAAGUACCGUGAUCCAAAGACAGGGCUAUCUUAUGCAACCAAGGAAGCCUUUAAAAUUAUUCGAGAACGGUGUGGCUCACUUCAGUUUUAUCAGUGUCAAUUCCUUAAGUUUAUCAUGUAUUUAUAUUUAGUUUUGAAAAUGAACAUAGAAGUGCCCCAAAGGAAAUGGACAUGGGGGUCUUGUUUGAUUCCCUUUCUGGUAAAGGUUUAAUGCCCAGGCAGAGGAGAUCGCAAAUUUCCAAUAGAAGUCAAACAUCACGGUUCCAAUACUUGGGGCAUUUCCAUAGAACCCCAACUGAUGACGAUGAAGAAUCUGAUUAGUGGAUAUGAGCAACUAUCUCUAUGGUAGUAACUGCUAGCUACUGUGUGAUUCAUUUUAUAACUGGGUGAUGCGAAAUCAAGGACAACGGGAUAUGUUCCUGGGAAGACUUUAUGUUGUUACAGCCACUCGCAACAGCUAGCUACAGUGUGAUUCGAUUUAGACUUGGAGUUCUUCCAUGGGAACAUGGUUUCAAGGUUUGAGCUCUCUGUCUAAAUGCUCACAUUGAUUGUUUUUGUGAUACUUGUCCAUUUCAUUGUUACAAGGAUUAUUUUCCUAUGCAGUAGGGAUUAUACAUUUGGGCAGGUUUAGAUCUUUGCAAUGUGGCUGUUUAACUGUAAAUGAGACCUAUGGCUAAACUAUAGAUGCUGGAAAGUUUUUAAACUUUCCCUCUGGCAUAUAGAAUAAGAAUCAUUGUUCAAACUGUAUAUAUUAUUUGCCAUUGAAACAUAUUUCAAGCUGUAUUGUUACUGUUGGAACAAUCUACACAAGAGUGUUCCACAAUUAUGAUCUAUAGAUUCUUUUUGAGCCA